UACAGAGGGGGCAAGCGUUGUUCGGAAUUACUGGGCGUAAAGGGCGCGUAGGCGGCCUGUUAAGUCGAACGUGAAAUCCCCGGGCUCAACCCGGGAACUGCGUCCGAUACUGGCAGGCUUGAAUUCGGGAGAGGGAUGCGGAAUUCCAGGUGUAGCGGUGAAAUGCGUAGAUAUCGGGAGGAACACCAGUGGCGAAGGCGACUUCUUGGCCUGUUCUUGACGCUGAGGCGCGAAAGCUAGGGGAGCAAACGGG
rnacentral:rRNA from 1 species